rnacentral:rRNA from 1 species
GAUGACGCUGGCGGCGUGCCUAAUACAUGCAAGUCGAGCGAGCGGCGGACGGGGGAGUAAAACGUGGCAAACUACCUAUAAGACGGGGAUAAAUUCGGGAAACCGUAGCUAAUACCGUUAUUUAUAGAUGGAUCCGCGCUGCAUUAGCUAGUUGGUAAGGUAACGGCUUACCAAUGCAACGAUGCAUAGCCGACCUGAGAGGAUGACCAUCCACACUGGAACUGAGACACGGUCCAGACUCCUACGGGAGGCAGCAGUGGGGAAUAUUGCACAAUGGGCGCAAGCCUGAUGCAGCCAUGCCGCGUGUAUGAAGAAGGCCUUCGGGUUGUAAAGUACUUUCAGCGGGGAGGCGUUACCCGCAGAAGAAGCACCGGCUAACUCCGUGCCAGCAGCCGCGGUAAUAC